GCAGUGGCAGUUCAGUGGUAGAAUUCUCACCUUCUAUGCAGGUUUUUUAUGCAGGAGACCCAGGUUCAAUUCCUGGCCAUAGCA
rnacentral:tRNA from 1 species